rnacentral:rRNA from 1 species
UGGGGAAUAUUGCACAAUGGGGGAAACCCUGAUGCAGCGACGCCGCGUGAGCGAAGAAGGCUUUCGAGUCGUAAAGCUCUGUCCUAUGAGAAGAUAAUGACGGUAUCAUAGGAGGAAGCCCUGGCUAAAUACGUGCCAGCAGCCGCGGUAAUACGUAUGGGGCGAGCGUUGUCCGGAAUUAUUGGGCGUAAAGGGUACGUAGGCGGUUUUUUAAGUCAGGUGUCAAAGCGUGGAGCUUAACUCCAUUAAGCACUUGAAACUGAAAGACUUGAGUGAAGGAGAAGAAAGUGGAAUUCCUAGUGUAGCGGUGAAAUGCGUAGAUAUUAGGAGGAAUACCGGUGGCGAAGGCGACUUUCUGGACUUUUACUGACGCUCAGGUACGAAAGCGUGGGGAGCAAACAGG